AUACGUAGGUCCCGAACGUUGCGCGAAAUUACUGGGCGUAAAGGGUCCGUAGGCGGUCUGGUAAGUGGAAGGUGAAAGCCUGGGGCUCAACUCCAGAAUUGCCUUCCAAACUGCCGGACUUGGGGCAGGGAGAGGUCGGCGGAAUUCCUGGUGCAGCGGUGAAAUGCGUAGAUAUCGGGAGGAACACCAGUGGCGAAGGCGGCCGACUGGAACUGUCCUGACGCUGAGGGACGAAAGCCAGGGGAGCGAACCGGAUUAGAAACCCUAGUAGUCC
rnacentral:rRNA from 1 species